GACAGAGGAUGCAAGCGUUAUCCGGAAUGAUUGGGCGUAAAGCGUCUGUAGGUGGCUUUUCAAGUCCGCCGUCAAAUCCCCAGGGCUCAACCCCUGGACAGGCGGUGGAAACUACCAAGCUGGAGUACGGGUAGGGGGCAGAGGGAAUUUCCGGUGGAGCGGUGAAAUGCGCAGAUAUCAGGAGGAACACCGAUGGCGAAGGCAGGUCUCUGGGCAUUAACUGACGUGGAGGAGCGAAAGCAUGGGGAGCGAACAGG
rnacentral:rRNA from 1 species